GAUGAACGCUGGCGGCGUGCCUAAUACAUGCAAGUCGAGCGAACAGACGAGGAGCUUGCUCCUCUGACGUUAGCGGCGGACGGGUGAGUAACACGUGGAUAACCUACCUAUAAGACUGGGAUAACUUCGGGAAACCGGAGCUAAUACCGGAUAAUAUAUUGAACCGCAUGGUUCAAUAGUGAAAGACGGUUUUGCUGUCACUUAUAGAUGGAUCCGCGCCGCAUUAGCUAGUUGGUAAGGUAACGGCUUACUAAGGCAACGAUGCGUAGCCGACCUGAGAGGGUGAUCGGCCACACUGGAACUGAGACACGGUCCAGACUCCUACGGGAGGCAGCAGUAGGGAAUCUUCCGCAAAGGGCGAAAGCCUGACGGAGCAACGCCGCGUGAGUGAUGAAGGUCUUCGGAUCGUAAAACUCUGUUAUUAGGGAAGAACAAAUGUGUAAGUAACUAUGCACGUCUUGACGGUACCUAAUCAGAAAGCCACGGCUAACUACGUG
rnacentral:rRNA from 1 species